UUUUUAUAUUUAUAGUAAUUAAUUAAUUAUUAUAAAUAUUUUAUUGGGGUGAUAAUAAAAUUUAUAAAACUUUUAUUUUAUAAAAAUGUUCAUUAAUUAAUGUUUUAUAAUUAACUUUAAUUUAGAAAUUUAGAUUAAAA
rnacentral:rRNA from 1 species